rnacentral:rRNA from 1 species
UGCCAGCCGCCGCGGUAAUACGAGGGGUGCAAGCGUUAAUCGGAAUUACUGGGCGUAAAGCGUACGCAGGCGGUUUGUUAAGCGAGAUGUGAAAGCCCCGGGCUCAACCUGGGAACUGCAUUUCGAACUGGCAAACUAGAGUCUUGUAGAGGGGGGUAGAAUUUCAGGUGUAGCGGUGAAAUGCGUAGAGAUCUGAAGGAAUACCGGUGGCGAAGGCGGCCCCCUGGACAAAGACUGACGCUCAGGUACGAAAGCGUGGGGAGCAAACAGGAUUAGAUA